rnacentral:rRNA from 1 species
AAUGAACGUUGGCGGCGUGGAUUAGGCAUGCAAGUCGAGCGAGAACCGUAGCAAUACGGGGACAGCGGCGAAAGGGACAGUAAUGUGUAGGUACCUACCCUGAGGUUCGGGAUAGCUGCGGGAAACUGCAGGUAAUACCGAAUAAUGUCUCCGGACCAAAGGUGUGAUUCCACCUUAGGAGGGGCCUGCAUCCUAUUAGCUAGUUGGCGAGGUAACGGCUCACCGAGGCAACGAUGGGUAGCGGGUGUGAGAGCACGACCCGCGUCAUUGGGACUGAGACACUGCCCAGACACCUACGGGUGGCUGCAGUCGAGGAUCUUCGGCAAUGGGCGAAAGCCUGACCGAGCGACGCCGCGUGUGGGAUGAAGGCCUUCGGGUUGUAAACCGCUGUCAACGGGGAGGAAAUGUAAGGGGGUACUCCCCCUUAUUUGACCUAUCUGUGGAGGAAGUACGGGCUAAGUUCGUGCCAGCAGCCGCGGUAAGACGAACCGUACUAACGUUAUUCGGAAUUACUGGGCUUAAAGGGUGCGUAGGCUGCGCGGUAAGUUGGGUGUGAAAGCCCUCAGCUCAACUGAGGAACUGCACUCAAAACUACCGUGCUCGAGGGAGACAGAGAUAAGCGGAACUCAGGGUGGAGCGGUGAAAUGCGUUGAUAUCUUGAGGAACACCGGUGGCGAAAGCGGCUUACUGGGUCUUUUCUGACGCUGAGGCACGAAAGCUAGGGUAGCAAACGGGAUUAGAUACCCCGGUAGUCUUAGCUGUAAACGAUGAGCACUUGAUUGAAGG